rnacentral:rRNA from 1 species
ACGGGUGAGUAACGCGUGGGAAUCUACCGUGCCCUGCGGAAUAGCUCCGGGAAACUGGAAUUAAUACCGCAUACGCCCUACGGGGGAAAGAUUUAUCGGGGUAUGAUGAGCCCGCGUUGGAUUAGCUAGUUGGUGGGGUAAAGGCCUACCAAGGCGACGAUCCAUAGCUGGUCUGAGAGGAUGAUCAGCCACAUUGGGACUGAGACACGGCCCAAACUCCUACGGGAGGCAGCAGUGGGGAAUAUUGGACAGUGGGCGCAAGCCUGAUCCAGCCAUGCCGCGUGAGUGAUGAAGGCCUUAGGGUUGUAAAGCUCUUUCACCGGAGAAGAUAAUGACGGUAUCCGGAGAAGAAGCCCCGGCUAACUUCGUGCCAGCAGCCGCGGUAAUACGAAGGGGGCUAGCGUUGUUCGGAAUUACUGGGCGUAAAGCGCACGUAGGCGGAUAUUUAAGUCAGGGGUGAAAUCCCAGAGCUCAACUCUGGAACUGCCUUUGAUACUGGGUAUCUUGAGUAUGGAAGAGGUAAGUGGAAUUCCGAGUGUAGAGGUGAAAUUCGUAGA